UACGUAGGGUGCGAGCGUUGUCCGGAAUUAUUGGGCGUAAAGGGCUCGUAGGCGGUUUGUCGCGUCGGGAGUGAAAUCCACUGGCUUAACUGGUGGCUUGCUUUCGAUACGGGCAGACUGGAGGUAUGCAGGGGAGAACGGAAUUCCUGGUGUAGCGGUGAAAUGCGCAGAUAUCAGGAGGAACACCGGUGGCGAAGGCGGUCUC
rnacentral:rRNA from 1 species